rnacentral:rRNA from 1 species
GACGAACGCUGGCGGCGUGCCUAAUACAUGCAAGUCGAGCGAAGUUUUUCUGGUGCUUGCUCUAGAAAAACUUAGCGGCGAACGGGUGAGUAACACGUAAAGAACCUGCCUCAUAGACUGGGACAACUAUUGGAAACGAUAGCUAAUACCUGAUAACAGUAUUUCUCGCAUGAGAGAUAUUUAAAAGUUGGUUAUGCUAACACUAUGAGAUGGCUUUGCGGUGCAUUAGCUAGUUGGUGGGGUAAAGGCCCACCAAGGCGACGAUGCAUAGCCGACCUGAGAGGGUGAUCGGCCACACUGGGACUGAGACACGGCCCAGACUCCUACGGGAGGCAGCAGUAGGGAAUCUUCCGCAAUGGGCGAAAGCCUGACGGAGCAACGCCGCGUGAGUGAAGAAGGAUUUCGGUUCGUAAAGCUCUGUUGUUAGGGAAGAAUGGAUAUGUAGUAACUAUACAUGUAAGUGACGGUACCUAACCAGAAAGCCACGGCUAACUACGUG